AAACAACAGUCGUCCCAUGCUCCUAGCAUGUACACUUUGUUUUUCUAAACAAUAGUUAUGCCAUACUCCAAGUAUGCACACUAUGUUUGUCUAUGAUCCUUACAUUGUGAUGUAGAUCAAUUGAACAUGAUUCCAAUGAUACUCAUUUCACAAUCCCAAAUCCUUAUUGUAAAUGUGAGAAUCCCCGAUUCCUAUCAUUUACCAAAAAAACUGUUAGAUUUUAAACUUUUAUGCAAUGUUCCUCUUGUAAUGAUUAUGCACAAAGUCACCAAAACCUUGUCACCAGUCAUUACAGAGUAUUCCAAAGAAGGUCAACUUCUAUGGAACGGAAGUCUCAUAUUCAAAGUACAUUGCUUUGAACAUCCUUCUUGCAUUAAGGUUUUCUAAUCUUACAUAGAUUGAAUAACUUCCACCUAUGGAGACAUUUCCAUAGUCCCAUUUUGACUAUCACUUCCGAACAAGAGUUACUUCUUUUCAGAAUAUGUCAAUAUGGUCCUUUCCGACAACUUACAUCAUACUUCCAACUUUCCCUGAGCAACCAAUCUUUGGCGAACCUCAGAUUGUCCUCGACAAUUGCUUAAUCACUUUAGUCAUAUCCAGUUCUAGACUUUUCCCUUCUCAAUGCCUUAAGCAUUUGGAAAAUUUAGAAAAGAUGAAUAUUAUAGCACAUGCAAUCGAUCCUAUAUCCGAAGCAUAUGGGACACGAUUCAUGAUGUUUGACAUAAAGACAUGAUACUAGACCAGUCUUUUGCUACAAUAUUUUUUAUUUGCCAUGUUUUCAAAAUUUAACUAUGAAGAGGGAUGCCGUAAUCAUAAUCGAAUUUUGAAAACGCAAUAUAUAUAGAAUUUCUUCAAGUUGAACCAUUCCAACAUAAAAUUCAUAUAUAUAUUCUUGACUAAAGAUGAUUAAAAUCUCAAUCUAAGCUUUAGAAUUGAAAUGAAGUAUAAUUUCCUCUCCCUUAAUUAUAGCAAAACAACUUUUCAACCCCUGCAACUUCACGAAUUGAAACUUUGUUUUCUAUAAUUAACAUUGCUAACUUGCAACACUAAACGUAAUAAUCAUGCUCCCACUAACAUGAUGAUUAUCAGCAUAACACUUAUGCUCCCACUAGCUCUGACAUAUUUCCAGAAAUCUGCUGGACUUCUGAAAUUUAGAUUCAUACACCCUUUCUUAGAUAGCUCACAUGUGUGUCUAAACAAUUUUCAGAACUAUGAAAAGGGAUGCCGUAAUCAUAGUCUCAAUUGCUUAGGCAUUUGCCAUUUCUCACAAGUCCAUGUUAGUGUGCCGGUUAACCACACGCGCUCCACUAACGACUUUUGAAAAUGCAAAUAACACAAUUGAUAUCUACGUAAAAUCUACUUAGUGAAAGCGUUUCCUCACCAUCAUUUUCAUGAAUCGGAGAGAAACCUUAUGACACUUAGAUUUUAUAGUGUAUGAGUUCCUAUCCAUGUGAAUUUGUCAAAACCAUAAUCACAAGAUAAGGUUAGUGACAAAUUCAGCCUUACAUGGAUUAAACUUGUUCAAUCUUAGUUUCUUGUCACCUUGGUAGCACAAGGCCCACCAAUGCUUCCAAGUUGAACUCUGAUAACUCACAUGCAAAUUCAACUUAUUUGAAGUAGGUACAGAAAUAAGAAUUAUGUCAACACGAUAGGUUGCAAACCUUAAGUCGUGUGCUAGUGAUAAAUUACAGGUUUUACUCUUGAUUAAAUCUUGAAACUCUUUCAGGAUCUUUAAGGCUCCCACUGUCCCCUUGACAUAUAAGUUUCCCCAGUCAAGAACCAUUCCUUGACAAAACAAAUAUUCAAGGGAUAGUGCGGAUUCUUAUCAAGACUAACACUUCACACAAUUGGUCUUAGUUGGUCUUUGUCUCAUCCAAGACAUCACAACUUACCAAUCUCAAAUGUACAAGAGUAGAAAACAUUUUACUCUUACAUUUGACUAGUGUUAAUAAAUCUUCCUUUAUGUCACUCAAAGUUACAAUCUUGGAGUAUGACUCUAAGAAUUGUUUUGGAACGAAGUAUGACUCAUCUUCUUGAUUUUAACCAAUCCAACAAUUCAUGACCUCUCUUCUUAGCCAUAACAAUGCACUAAGACGUCCUUAGAGUAUGAAUUUGUGAUAUGGUUUCAUAAUCAUUAAGAUGAUCAUGAAAUACGAUACUAAAGUACUCUCCCAUCCUUUCAGAUUUGAGAAACUUUUAUCUUUCUGCCUAAUUUGAUUCUUCUCAUUUGUUUUGUCAUACAUUGUAACCUUUCCAAUGUUACAGAAUUAUACUUAACCUCAUAAGUAUAAUCAUAUUUACUAAUCUUUAGUAAAUCAUGACAAAUCAAUCUUUGUGGUGGACCUUGACCAGCGCACACCCAGUGUACCUAAUUCCUUAGUCCUUCAAUUGACUCACAUAUACAUGUGAUCAAAGAAUUAGUCUUAAUUUUCAAAGAUGAAAAUUCUCAUUCAUCAUACAAUACAACUUGUAUGAUUCCAAGUUUCUGUCCAAUUGAAACUUGGGUGAUGAAAAACUUUCUUCAUUUGGUAAAUUCAGACACUACCACAAAUGAAAGAAUCAAAUCCACUUUCCAAUAUUGCUAUUACUGGAAACAUAUAAGCAACAAUUUUCCACAGAUGCCAUUGUAAGGAUAUUUUUAAAAUAAAUAAAAUUAAAACCCUUUUUUUUUUUUUUUUUAAAACUUUGCGGAAAAACUUAUCCUUACAAUCCACAUGAAAACCUUGUUGUUAUCUAUUCAUAAGCAAUAUAUUAUAACUCUUAAGCAACAGCUCAAAAUUCUGAUUACCGAACCAUGCGAUCGAAACCCACCUUCGCAAUCAGAAUCAACAUAUACUUACUUUAAGCUUCCUAUCUUUUCUUUGAUUCUUAAAAACAUCAGCAUGUGACCCAUUCACAUUAUGUAAUAAGAAUCUCCAAAUAGGAACUUAAUAGAGUUAGACAGUGGACUUUACCCGAAGUAGAGUCAAACCUCUUGACUUGAUCAACCUUAUGACCUUUCAGGUGAAUAGGGCAGCUUCGCAACCAAUGCCCCUUCCUUUGGCAACAAAACACAUGGACCCUUUGGUAAUGGCACAUGAGACUAUCUCAGACUUAGCCUUUCUCUUUACCAUUUGGUCAACCGAGUUGACUAUGGCCGAUCCCUUUCCAUUGGGAAGAGAAAUCCUUUUCUAGAUAUCCAAUGCUACCAUUGUCAAUGUCCAUUUAAGACUUGGGAAGUUGUUCUUUUAAUCAAAUUUGCUUUACUGGUGUUCCAAAUCAUUGCUGAUUCCACAACACCAAGCAAAUAGAUAACAUCAUUAAGGGUCAUGUCAUAGUCUGUCUCAUAGUAGUCCCAAAGAGACUCACUAUGUUACUAAGAAAGUGAUUGAACAUCCAACUUUCACGAGACUUUGACACCCAACUCUCCCGGCUUGUCAAUAUGUGACUUUAUCUCCAAGAUGUGAGCACACAUAGACUAUGCUUGCCAAUAGGGAUUGAGUGACUUUAAACUUUUCAAGAACUUGUGGGUGAGGGAGAAUAAUUGGAGGAGGUGGAGGAAGUGAAGCAUGAUGUUGAGGGACACCAUCUUCAAGAGAUUUGGGAAGAUCAUAGUUGUCUGAACCAGACAUCUAUAAUGGGAGAAAAUCAAGUUAGUUGAUUCAAAGUCCUUAAUAUAACACCCAAUAUGAAAUAUUAAGGCUAGGACCCAACACAAUAUUUUAUAAUUUGGAAGAGGGAUGCCGUAAUCCAAGCUAUAAAAUAUUUGAAGGUAGGCGAAUGACGAUUCACCAAUUUCCACCAUGAAAAACGAAAUAAUUUAUUAGGUUUUAAUUGGAUUUGAAAUUCCUAGAUCUUUUGAGAUUCAUUGAACUUUUCAAUGGCAUGUUUCAAUCUCGAGUGUGCCCUCUCAAAUUUUGUGACUGGGAUGCCGAGGAUCACAAAACAAGGUGUGAAUAACCAUACCAAUUCACUUGGUACCCUUAAUAUUAUCACCUAAUCAAUGUGCCGGUUAACCACACACGCUCCAUUGAUCUAUGACAAACAUUAAGUCACCCUUCGUGAUCCUUACUAGUCCAAGUUAGUGUGCCGGUUAACCACACACGCUCCACCAACGACUUGGUAAGGUACAAAGUGUGAAUUCCAUGGGCUAGCACCAAAUUCACAUUUUUCCUAAAGUAACUAAGAUUGGGAAUUAAAUAAAAAAUUUUUAGUUACUUUAUAAUAAUCAUUAUACUUUUAAUGAGAAUUUAAAGUCAUUGUCCUACCCGUUCGGCUAACGACCCUCCACCGAUCAAGCAAGCGGUGGGUGAGAGUGGACACCCAUUAAGUCGCCAUUUUAUAGGCAACAACCUUAUACCCACCUUAUAGACCGGCUUCGUGAAUGAGGCCUACUAACGGUAAAACGACUUGUUCUUAUACAUAUAUAUAAUAAUUAACCAUUAAUGUUAUAAAUAGUAUAAGUGUUGAAUUUUAACUUUUAAAACUCUAAGUGUUGGAAUUAAAGUUUAUUAAAGUGUGUGAAACUUUUCAAAUUCCAAAACUUGAGGGCAAGUUUUGUAACUAUCCAAAACUUUUCAUUUCAUAACUUAUGAAUUAAAGGUUCAUAAAAAUGAAGACUCUUCAUUUUCAUGUAACUUAUGUGUUUAAAUGUGUGUGUUAAAGAAAAGUGACCUUUGGAUAUCCAUAACUUGAGGACAAAUUAUGGACUCCAUUAAAACACAUAAAUGAUCAAGAAUUAAUUCUAAACAAUUCAGCAAAUAAUUCCUAUCAUCUUCUAAAUUCAUAAGAACAUGAACAUGAUCAUCAAAAUUUCAAGAAUUAUAUGAACACAUAAAAAUCAUGGAAUUUUGAUAUAUGCUAUUGUAAAUGGAUUAGAACAACCAUUACACCAACUAAAACAAGUUUUAAAACACCAAAACAGUUUAGGGUAAUGUUUCUAGUCCAUUUCCAGCAGCAAAAGUCGAAAUUCUGCAUUCUGAUCAUUCUACUCGCCGAGUGCACGAACCUACUCGCCGAGUAGGAUGAAUUUUGCCUUGAACUCGGCGAGUCCCCCCAUGGACUCGGCGAGUCCAUCAGCCAGACAGCAACAAUUUCAACUUUUUUCACUAUUUUGCAUCAAGUAUCAAACAAGCAAGCCUAGGCUCUGAUACCACUGUUGGGUUUUGAGCAAUCUAACACUUCCUAAGUGUGCAUGCAACCCUAAUAAACCUUGGAUCUAUGUUUGUCUAAAUACAUGCAAAAUAAUAAUUUUCCAAGGUUCAUAACCUAUCUAACAUGGCAUGGGGAACAUUUCAACAUAAAAGAGUUAGAAGAGAUUACAUACCUUUUUGAUGAGUUUGGUUCUUAAGGAGUUUGAGGGCCAAGCACCAAUAGUGUGAAUGCCUCAAAUGGAAUCACAAAACACCACAAACUCUUGGAAAACUUUGAGAGAGUAUACACACUUGUAUUUUUGGCCACACACAAGCACACACACACUAGUUCACUAGUUGCCAUUUCAUGCUCCAUAAGCAUGCUUAUAUAGUGUGCAUGGUUAGGGUGAAACCCUAAUAACCCAUGACCUUUCCUUUUCCAAGGAUCCAUGGGUUAAAAGCUCCAUGGAUCAUCCAUGGACUUCCAUAUAAGCCUAGCCCAUUAACAAAUGAGUGUUAGCCCACACCAUAUAAAACCAAUAGCCCAUAAUCUAAUUAGUCUUCCUUUUAAUCUCUAAAUUAAUUCAUAAUUAAUUUAAGACUAAGACUAAUUAAAUAACAUAACUUCAUAUUAAUAUAUUAUAACUUAUAAUAUAUUAAUAAACAUAUGUGUAUAACUCUCAUAAAAUUAUCCAUAAAUAGUUCGGGUGAGAUGCAACCCAAAUGGACCAUGCCGGGUCGGGUCAAGUAUAUACCAAAUAAGUUAUGGACUUAGACACCUUAUCCAACAGACUCCCACUUGGAUAAGUCUAAUAACUAUAUUUGCGUAUGUUACUUCAGGAACCAACCAGCAAUCGUAGCUCUCGAAAACUCUGUUGAACUAUGAAGCGCCAUUUUAGAUAAGUGAUCAUAUAAUCCUCUGUUCUCAUGAUAUCAGCCGGACAAAUACAUGGAACAACGUCGUACUUAUUGUCCAGCAGUUUGUUUCCCGAUUUUCGAUUUGUUUGACAAAGAACUUAAUCGAACACAUCAAUUUAGUUCUGACCGGCCGGUACAUAGGUCACAACAAAAUCAUCGAGGGGCCCAGAUAUCGCUUCUAUUUCUAGAAGGAACAGAUAAACUUCGACUCAUAUGCUUGUUCUACUACUUGUUGAAUUGUACACAAAGGCACGUUUUAUAACAUCAAGUUACUGAUGCGUUUACGUGCAAUCAAUGCACAACCAACUCAUAGGUAACAACUCAUAUCUCUAGGUUUGAAGAUUUAUAUGAUAUUACCGUCUCACGAUCACUCGAGAUAAAUUCCAUGAAGUGAUACAAGUGAGCGUGGGUUUAUUCCAAUACUCAUAACUUAUGAGCACUCAUGAAUGUUGUAGCAACCAUUGCUAUGACUAAACCCAUUUAGCCAUCUACAAACUCGAUUCAUGACAGUCUUGAUUCAUACCUACUUCCAACAUAUGAACGACUGUGGAGUGUUUAAAUAACUUAGUCAUUCGGAAAGAAUAACCUAGCUAUUUUGGAAGUCAAAACAUGCAAAGUGAAACACAAUAAUAAUCGAAUCCAAUAUGGUCUCAGAACCCUUUUGAAUAUAAAUAGAACCACCUUUUAUUUAUCACCAUAUUGAUUACACAUUAUUCAUUGUAUAAUGUUUCAAACAAUCAACUUAAGACUUGAAUAAAAACAACAGUCGUCCCAUGCUCCUAGCAUGUACACUUUGUUUUUCUAAACAAUAGUUAUGCCAUACUCCAAGUAUGCACACUAUGUUUGUCUAUGAUCCUUACAUUGUGAUGUAGAUCAAUUGAACAUGAUUCCAAUGAUACUCAUUUCACAAUCCCAAAUCCUUAUUGUAAAUGUGAGAAUCCUCAAUUCCUAUCAUUUACCAAAAAAACUGUUAGAUUUUAAACUUUUAUGCAAUGUUCCUCUUGUAAUGAUUACGCACAAAGUCACCAAAACCUUGUCACCAGUCAUUACAGAGUAUUCCAAAGAAGGUCAACCUCUAUGGAACGGAAGUCUCGUAUUCAAAGUACAUUGCUUUGAACAUCCUUCUUGCAUUAAGGUUUUCUAAUCUUACAUAGAUUGAAUAACUUCCACCUAUGGAGACAUUUCCAUAGUCCCAUUUUGACUAUCACUUCCGAACAAGAGUUACUUCUUUUUAGAAUAUGUCAAUAUGGUCCUUUUCGACAACUUACAUCAUACUUCCAACUUUCCCUGAGCAACCAAUCUUUGGCGAAC
rnacentral:lncRNA from 1 species